UACGGAGGGAGCUAGCGUUGUUCGGAAUUACUGGGCGUAAAGCGCGCGUAGGCGGCUUUGUAAGUUAGAGGUGAAAGCCCGGGGCUCAACCCCGGAACUGCCUUUAAGACUGCAUCGCUUGAAUCCGGGAGAGGUGAGUGGAAUUCCGAGUGUAGAGGUGAAAAUUCGUAGAUAUUCGGAAGAACACCAGUGGCGAAGGCGGCUCACUGGACCGGCAUUGACGCUGAUGUGCGAAAGCGUGGGGAGCAAACAGG
rnacentral:rRNA from 1 species